AUUUUAUUCUAAAGCACAUUUAUACCGACUAACAAUACAGGGGGCGUGUAGUGUUCUUGACGAUUGAUAUUGUAACAGCGACAAAACUCAAGAAGACAAAGAUUUUGCUCGUGCAAAACUAUUGGCAGCGGUGGGAUUCGAACCCACGCCCCCGAAGAGACUGGAGCCUUAAUCCAGCGCCUUAGACCGCUCGGCCACGCUACCUCAUGCUAAGUCUCGACUUAAAAAGGUUUGUAAAUUUUACCUUACCACGUCAUCGGUGUAGAAGUUAUAUAUUAUGUUUAGCGUCACUUGAUAAAAAAGCCUUAUUCACAAACCCUCACUGGUUAUUUCAAAAGCUCUUCCCUAAAGUCACUAUCAAUGCUUUCCCAUUGUAUCACAAGGAGUUUCUUUCUGGACUCUUAUCAUUCAACAAGGUCUUAAGAUAACUUUAUCAGCUAUUUACAUUUACUAGAAUAUUGUAUGAAUAUAUUAAACCAUCCUCACAUGAAGCAUUGCCUAAAUAAACUAAAUAUUACAACUAAAUAAAAUAAAUAUUAUAACACUAACACAACACAAUUAUAAACACUCCCUUUCAUUUACUGAACAAUUUGGGGCCCGUUUCAAGAAGGAGGUUUAACAAACUCUUAAAACGAAACUCUGAGUUGAUCUACUCUGAGUUUGCAAACCUGGAGUUUUCGGUUGCAGAACAGCUGAAAAGAGUUGGUUUAAGCAACUCUGAGUUGUGUGACUCAGAGUUAAGCGCGUGCACCGCGACGAUACAAAGCCCUGAUCAAUGGAGUGAAGAUAUUACGAGUCACCAUGGCAACAGGACAACAAAAGACGUCCGGAAAUGGAUAUGAUACGCCAAGCAUAUAGCGACUACGAGUCUAUAAUCCAUAGAAAAAGCAACACGGCUGCAGCGGCGAAAGAGAAAGAAUUAGCUUGGAAGAAAAUAGCUGCUCGAGUCAAUGCGUAAGUUUACAUUUUAAUCAUACAGUGUUCAGCGUAACUAAAUACUUAAUAAUUUUAGUAUUGUUGUUAUUUUUCACUCGUAAAGUAAGGACUUUUUCACUCAUCUAAGGCGUUACUUCAGUAAUUGCAAAUACCGAUGUUUGUAUGAAUUAAAAGUGCAGUGUUAUGUCUAUGCAUUUUUAAAAUUCCUGUUGUGGUUGAUGUGGGAUUUGUAAAGUAAUGAUAAUUCAAUAAUCCAUUGCAUUUUAUGGAGAGCAAUUAUUACAUUAAUCUAAUUAGGUUUUUAAAAGUUACCCAAAACACGUAAUAAUAUAAGAAAUUAAUUUCAGUUUUUAUGUAGGCGCAAUCCUGCAGACAUAGAAGAACGUGGCUAAAAAUGAAAUGUAAAAACAUAAUUCAAACAGCCAACAGAAAGUAGGCAGAGGCUAGAACAACUGGUGGAGGACCUGCACUGACGCAUGCAGAGGAGAAGGGCCUCACCCUGAACACUGGAGAGAGGCUGAGGCUGAAGGAAUUCAUCAGAACCCGUCACUCCCCAGGAUACAAGUGCAUGUGUAAAAUAUUCUGAUGGUAAUAUAUGAAUCCUCCUGUCACAACAGAAACCCAGGAUGUUAGUGUGGAAGAACAGCAGGAGGAGGUCAGUCACAUUCUGCUGCACAGAUGCACAUAGUUCAGUGAUGUUCAGUAAAUGCCAGAGUUCAAUUCUGUAAGAGUAAUGAGGAACAUGUCAUUUCAAGAUGUCAUGUAACUAUGAAUCUUCUGUAUUUUAAGUUACCGGUUAUUGAGUUGUAUAAACUAAAUCUCAAGGAAAUGUUAUACUUGUACCACAAGAUUGAAAAGCCAGAUCUAGAAAUUGAAAUUCCCAAACACAAGCUGGAGAUGAGUGUAUAGUUAAAGGUGAAUUGUAUGAAUUAUUGGAAGAAUCAUAAAAUCUAACAAUUGCCUUUGUAUUUGUAGGAAAUGAAAAAAAAAACAAAUAAAUUAUGAUUUACAUCUAUUCAGUUUCUUUUAUUGGUGGUGGUGGUGAUGGUUGAUUAAGACAUUAAAGCAAAUCUGUCCAUCCACUCUGCAGAUUACUGUAAUGGAAGGAGUCUCCUCAGGGUCUUGUAUUUGUAGGGCAGGGUGUUGCUCCUGUCUAAUAAUUGCAAUAAUGUGGAGAACAACACAUGUCACAUUAAUGUCACAGGCCUCUCAGGUGUUUCCCUGGGGUGACGUAGGCACUGAAGACGUGCUUUCAACAGGCCUAUGGUCAU